rnacentral:rRNA from 1 species
AGCAGUAGCCGCGGUAAAACGUAGGUGGCAAGCGUUGUCCGGAAUUAUUGGGCGUAAAGGGCUCGCAGGCGGUUUCUUAAGUCUGAUGUGAAAGCCCCCGGCUCAACCGGGGAGGGUCAUUGGAAACUGGGAAACUUGAGUGCAGAAGAGGAGAGUGGAAUUCCACGUGUAGCGGUGAAAUGCGUAGAGAUGUGGAGGAACACCAGUGGCGAAGGCGACUCUCUGGUCUGUAACUGACGCUGAGGAGCGAAAGCGUGGGGAGCGAACAGGAUUAGAGACCCGUGUAGUCCCUGUCUCUUAUAA